rnacentral:sRNA from 1 species
GCCAGGUAAGGUGGGGCAUGCCUUUAAUCCCAGUGACUUGGGAGGCUGAGGCAGGAGGAUCACAAGUUUGAGACCAGCCUCAGCACUUUAGCAAGACCCUGUCUCAA